AGGUGUAUGGUUAUCUGGUGAGGAAAGCAACUCACAGCAUGCUGUCCAAACAGCUGCUUGCUUUAUUUUGGAUUUAACAUGGUGCUUUUCAGUAGAAUUGGAAACUCCUAGCCCUAUUCUAAAUACACAAUAUGUAUUUAGGCCUUUUAUUGGUCAAUAUUUAGGUUAUAUAUAAUUUAUCACUGAAAAAUAUCUUAUUGGAUAUAUGUUUCUUGCUAUUCAUAAGCAAGGUUUUCUCUGAGAUUGGUAAGUCACAGGUUAUGUUCACUCUCAUCCUCACUAGAUAUUACCAUAGAAGAGAACGUUGGGGAACUUACCCGACAGUCCAGGGGUUAAGACUUCACCUUCCAAUGCAGGAAGUGUGAGUUUGAUCCCUAGUAGCCAGGAUCUUACAUGCUUGCAGCCAAAAAACCAAAACAUAAAAAAGAGCAGUAUUGUAACAAAUUUAGUAAAGACUUUAAAAAUGGUCCACAUCAAAAAAAAAAAAAAAGGAGAGAGAAUAUCAUUGUAGUGCCAGUUUACAACCCCUUCAACCUUACAGCCCCAUUUCUGGUAUGUGCUUUAGUAUUUUCUUGGUAAAUAAGGAGUUGAGCGUGUUUUUACAUUGUUUAUUACAAGAUCCCCAAUCUCCAAGAAAAUCUGGAAAGCAGACAACCAGUGAGUACCUAACUUAUAAAACUUCAGAUAUUGAUAAGGGUCACGAAGAGAAAAUAUACUGGGAAAGAGAAUUACUGAAGGGGAACAAUUAAGUUAAUCUUUUCAUCCGAAGUGUAUAAAGUACCCAUAGUGGUAGCAAUACCGGUUUUAUGUAAGAAUAGCCUGACUAACACUGCAAAAGAAAAGAUUCAAAGGGGAUACUAGUCCAGGGAGAAUGAAAAAUGCUGAAAAAGUCCAUAUAAUUGAAACACUGGUACUCAUGCAUGAACAGACCAGUGAAAUAGAACAGAAUUCCAUAUAUAGACCCAAAUACACAGGGAAUUUUCGUACAUGAGGGGAUAGGGAAUUGACACAUUCUUUUUGUGUGUGUGUGUGUGUGUGUGUGUUUGUUUGUUUACUUUGGGGACCAUAUGAAUGUUUUGCAAAUUUUAAAAGUUAGUAACAACCAAAGGGGAAAGUAGGGAGUAAUAAAGAGUAUGGGACUAACAGGUGUGUACCAUUAUAUAUAAAAUAGAUAAGGAUUUGCUGUAUAGCACAUGGAACUGUAUUCAAUAUCUUGUAAUAACCUCUAAUGAAAAGUAAUCUGAAAAAAUAUAUAUAUAUAAAUAAUUGAAUCACUUUGCUGUACACCUAAAACUAACACAAUAUUAUAAAUCAACUAUAGUUAAGUUUUUUUAAAGUGAAUCACAGAAGAGAGACCUUAAGUUGGAACAUAAGCAAAAACAAAUGUUUCCUUCGUACUAAAUGGGGAAAAAAGACAGGCAAGCAACUUUUGAAGACAAUUUGACUGUAUUUCCUCAGGCUACAAACAGAGCAAAAAGAACCCGUAAACAAAUAAUUAACUCUAGUUAGUAGAUUGGUUUACACAGCUAUAUAGAUUAGUAAUUCUGAAACUAAUUCAGGUAUUCUAGAAUCAGGCAAAAAAGUAUUAUGGGAGUAAAUAAAUAGGAGCCAAAUUUAUUGUUGCUGGAGAAGGGAGUUAAAUAUGGAGAGGAGGAGGCUAGAAUGAAUCCUGUCGUGUUGGAUCGCAAUUGGGAGUAUCACUUUUUAAAGAGAUGUUUAAAAAAAAAUAAAUUUAGAAAUACAUUAGGAAUGUGUGUAUGUAUGUCCCUCUAGCAGAAAGGACAUAGAAGCAAUUACACUUUGUAGCAAUGAGAAUAUCCAGCACCCAGAUCCAAGGAACAAGGACUCCUUGGAGAAACAGCAUAAAAGUCUGAGCAGAGAAAACAUAAGAUGUGGUUGGAACAUUCUGUGGAAGUAGAAAGUGGGGAAGUGCUCAAAAAAUGGAUGAAAUAUGUCAGAAAAUCACAGUAUUUCAAGAAGUUCUCACUGGCCAAAUCUGGACAAUCUGAGCAUCAAAAUAGGUCAUGAUAGUAGCAGAUGGAGUAAAAUCAUUGACUAACCCAGUGACUAUAAUACAUUUAAUAGUAGCAUGCCAACUUACUAAUGUAUUAAUAGAAGGCAUGGUGAAAUUAGAAAAUCACCAUCAGUCAGCCAUCACAGUAAUCAUUGAUUCUGCUAAGAAUCAUCAAUGUUGGGGCUUCCCUGGUGGCUCAGUGGUGAAAGAAUCCACCUGCCAGUGCAGGGGACACAGAUUUGAUCCCUGGUCCAGGAAGAUCACACAUGCGACGAAGCCCAUGCGCCACAACUUAUUGAGCCUGUGCUCUAGAGCCUGGAAGCCGCAAACACUGAGCCCAUGUGCCACAACUACUGAAGCUUGCACGCCAUAGAGCCCAUGCUCCCCAACAAGAGAAGCCACUGCAAUGAGAAGCUCAUGCCCCGCAACUAGAGAGUAGCCCCUCGCUUGCCACAGCUAGAGAAAAGCCUGCACAGCAACAAAGACCCAGCGCAGCCAGAAAAGAAAUAAAUAAAAUUAAGGAAAAAAUCAGCAAUGUAUGCCAAACUAGUGAGUGAAAAUUUGAUGAGAAAAUAGAAUUUGAGACCAUUUUAAAGUCUGUCUCCACAAAUAUUGAUUACAAAGGGGAAAGUAGUAAUUUUACAGUAAAGAAACCUGGCAGACAGCACCUUAACCAGUAAUCAAAGUUAACAUAACCACUGUGGUACAAAAUGAUAUCCUGUACCUCCUGUUAUAAUGCAGGAGAACAGAGCAACUCCUGUGAUAUUCUUCACAAAGGGCAUACCAGAAUUUAAUCGUCAGGAAAUCACAGAAAAAUGCAAUUCAAGCAAUGUUCUACAACUGGCCUUUACUUAGCAGCAGCCUUAUGUGUGCAACCGACUUUUCUGAAUAAAAUUCCAAUUGUUCAGGCAAAAAUAGGAUUGUAAAAUAAAUGUGGUAAAUGUUAGCAUUUAUAAAAUCUAUGUGAAGGGUAUACAGAAAUUCUUUGUGCUGUUUUUGCAACUUUUCUGUUUGAUAUGUCAAAAUAAAAAGUUUUAUUAACAAAGAAAGCAGGUUUGCAUUCUGCCUCCUCUACUAAUUGCUCUGUGACUUUGGACAAGUUGCUUCACCUCUUUGGGUUUCUGUGUCUGUCACAGGAUCAAAAUAGUACUGACACAAAGAGAUUGUUCUGAGAGAUAAUUAAUGCAUGUACAAUUUUCAAAAGUAGGC
ensembl:lncRNA